rnacentral:rRNA from 1 species
UACGGGGGGUGCAAUCGUUGUUCGGCUUUACUGGGCGUAAAGGGCGCGUAGGCGGCCACCGCACGUCAAUUGUGAAAUCUCCGGGCUUAACCCAGAAAGGUCAACUGAUACUGCGGGGCUAGAGUGCAGAAGGGGCAACUGGAAUUCUCGGUGUAGCGGUGAAAUGCGUAGAUAUCGAGAGGAACACCUGCGGCGAAGGCGGGUUGCUGGGCUGACACUGACGCUGAACUGCGAAAGCUAGGGGAGCGAACGGG